AUAACGUAGCGAAAGUUGCGCUAAUACCGCAUAUUCUGUGAGCAGGAAAGCAGGGGACCGCAAGGCCUUGCGCUCUUUGAGCGGCCGAUGUCAGAUUAGCUAGUUGGUGAGGUAACGGCUUACCAAGGCGACGAUCUGUAGCGGGUCUGAGAGGAUGAUCCGCCACACUGGAACUGAGACACGGUCCAGACUCCUACGGGAGGCAGCAGUGGGGAAUUUUGGACAAUGGGCGCAAGCCUGAUCCAGCCAUGCCGCGUGAGUGAAGAAGGCCUCGGGUUGUAAAGCUCUUUCGGCCGGGAAGAAAUCGCAUGGGUUAAUACCCUGUGUGGAUGACGGUACCGGAAUAAGAAGCACCGGCUAACUACGUG
rnacentral:rRNA from 1 species